UACGGAGGGUGCAAGCGUUAUCCGGAUUUACUGGGUUUAAAGGGUGCGUAGGUGGGUGAAUAAGUCAGCGGUGAAAUCUCCGGGCUUAACUCGGAAACUGCCAUUGAUACUAUUUGUCUUGAAUAUCCUGGAGGUGAGCGGAAUAUGUCAUGUAGCGGUGAAAUGCUUAGAUAUGACAUAGAACACCAAUUGCGAAGGCAGCUGGCUACACAAAUAUUGACACUGAGGCACGAAAGCGUGGGGAUCAAACAGG
rnacentral:rRNA from 1 species